AAAACGGAAGCCAAAAUCGCUCAGUGCCGCUCGCAGUGCCCCACAAAAUAAGUAUGCCUUAAAACCGGCUUAUCAGACGUCACAAACAGACAUGUCAGACAGGCCAAGGCAGGGCAGGGCCGCCACCCUUAGCACUAAACUGACAGCUUGACAGGCGUCUGUUCAGCCAAGAAACAACCUGGAAUAAUAUUUCAUUUCGCGAAUUAAUCAUGCAUAUGAUGCGUGCUUAUUAGCCCAUUUUGUGUGGAUAUGGGAGGUGCUUACAUAUGUACAUAUGUUUGUGUUCUGUAUAUAUGAUUGUGUUCUGACUGUGGAUUUUCAAAGACUUGCGCCUGGUUGCGUUUUUAAGCCGCUCCCAUUUCUGUGGUCGCUGCAAGAACGCUGAUAAGGCGCCAAGUGUCAAACCUAUGUGAACGAGGACAGCCACCAUUGGCGCUGCCAGUGGAGCAGCAACCACAAUAAAACGUGCGUCCCCCAAAACCAUGAUUCAGCUGUCAACGUUUGCACUGGCAACUCCUGUAGUUCUGCCCUAAUGGGACCGGCUGUGGCUGAUGCUGAUGUUGAUGCCACUGCGCCCAGUGUCAGCUUUCUCAGCUGAAAGUGCUCAGGCCGUGCCGCCCAUUAUUUACGUGUGUAAUUGAAGUGUGGACUGGCAUAUUAAAGAGCGUAAUAUCACAGCAAAGUUUUCGUUGCUGUUGCUGUUGCUGUUGCCGCUGCCGUUGCCGUUGU